rnacentral:tRNA from 1 species
GGCCUUGUGGUGUAACACAUAUUAGACUGCAAACCUAAAGUAGCAGAUUAGAAAUCUGCCGGGGCUU